AUCCAGCUGACCAGUCCCAAAUAGGACGAAACGCGCGUCAUGGAU
rnacentral:hammerhead_ribozyme from 1 species